CCUACGGGGGGCAGCAGUGAGGAAUAUUGGUCAAUGGACGAGAGUCUGAACCAGCCAAGUAGCGUGAAGGAUGACUGCCCUAUGGGUUGUAAACUUCUUUUAUAUGGGAAUAAAAUGUUCCACGUGUGGGAUUUUGUAUGUACCAUAUGAAUAAGGAUCGGCUAACUCCGUGCCAGCAGCCGCGGUAAUACGGAGGAUCCGAGCGUUAUCCGGAUUUAUUGGGUUUAAAGGGAGCGUAGGUGGAUUGUUAAGUCAGUUGUGAAAGUUUGCGGCUCAACCGUAAAAUUGCAGUUGAAACUGGCAGUCUUGAGUACAGUAGAGGUGGGCGGAAUUCGUGGUGUAGCGGUGAAAUGCUUAGAUAUCACGAAAAACUCCGAUUGCGAAGGCAGUUCACUGGACUGCAACUGACACUGAGGCUCGAAAGUGUGGGUAUCAAACAGGAUUAGAUACCCGAGUAGUC
rnacentral:rRNA from 1 species